rnacentral:misc_RNA from 1 species
GAUGAAGAACGUAGCGAAAUGCGAUAAGUAAUGUGAAUUGCAGAAUUCAGUGAAUCAUCGAAUCUUUGAACGCACCUUGCGCCCUUUGGCUAUUCCGAAGGGCAUGCCUGUUUGAGUAUCAUGAACACCUCAACCCUCAUGGUUUGCCAUGAUGGGCUUGGACUUUGGGGGUCUUGCUGGAUUGUAGUCAGCUCCCCUUAAAUGAAUCAGCUUGCCAGUGUUUGGUGGCAUCACAGGUGUGAUAAAUAUCUACGCUUGUGGUUUUACAUCAGAUAACCUUCAGUGAUGGAGGUUCACUGGAGCUCAUAAAGGUGUCUCUCCUCUGUGAGGACAGCUCUUUGAAUGUUUGAUAUCAAAUCAGGCAGGACUACCCGCUGAACUUAAGCAUAUCAAUAAGCGGAGGA